rnacentral:rRNA from 1 species
CGUGUAGGCGGUGGAGUGUGUCUGGUGUGAAAUCCCUCGGCUUAACCGGGGAACUGCAUUGGAAACUACUUUGCUAGAGUGCGAGAGAGGAAGGCGGAAUUCCCAGUGUAGAGGUGAAAUUCGUAGAUACUGGGAGGAACACCGGAGGCGAAGGCGGCCUUCUGGCUCGUAACUGACGCUGAGACGCGAAAGCGUGGGUAGCAAACA